rnacentral:lncRNA from 1 species
AGAAAUUCACCACUAUAUUAAUCAAGCUCAAAUCAGCAACACAUCAAUUGAAUCACAAGCAAAUAUGAAUUAUAAUACGCAAGUGACACACAAGAUUUAUACGUGGAAAACCCCUUCGGUAUGAAGGAUAAAAACCACGGGACUUGAAGGAGUCCACCCUUCUUCUUCUCUUAUUAUGUAAAUUGAGGGUAAAAACACCCAAAUCAGUCUACAAGGAUGUCACAGCCCACCAACAACAACAUACAUAAGAGCCAACACAAAAGAGAAGAGAAAUUGAGAAAUAUCACCAAAAAAAAUGCAGGUUACGCCAGCUGCGAUAACAGAUGAUCAAGAACUCCAAUUGACGAUCUGAACAGUCAAGAUGUAGUGCUAUGUGUUGUGAACCAGCUGUGAAAAUUUCAGAACGAUCCAACGGUCGGAUCUCUUGCAAUCUGAAAUUUUGUCUCGCUGUCCAGAAAAACCAGCAACCCUUUUCUCUCUCAAACCCUCUCUCUAUUUCUUUUUUCUCUUCCAAAACAAGAAACCCCAGCACCAACAUCAGCUGCCCAAGACUUCUAGAAGAAGUCAACAAAGCCCAAAAUAUAUGGGCCACCCAUCAAUGGGCUGGACCCUUAACAAUCUCCCCCUCCAGCCCAGUUCGGGGAGACCAAACAUAAAAGGUCAUCAAGAAGACAUACCUGCAAUCUUGGAACAAAAUUCAAGCUUGCUUCGAGGGACCACCUUUGUCAACAUAUCAACACCAUUCUUGUUGGUGUGAAUCUUCUUCAACUUCAUUAGUUGCUCUUCAAUGACAACACGCAACCAAUGAUAUCUCACAUCAAUAUGCUUUGUGCGAGCAUGGUACAUGCUGUUUUUGCUCAAGUCCAUAGCACUUUGACUAUCACAAAACACAACAUACUCGCUUUGCUUCAAACCUAACUCUUGAAGGAAACGCUUUAACCAAAGCAUUUCUUUGCUUGCUUCCACUGCUGCUAUAUAUUCUGCCUCGGUUGUAGACAACGCUACACACUUCUGUAGCUUGGAUUGCCAUGAAAUGGCUCCCCCUGCAAAUUUGAACAAGUAACCCGAGGUAGACUUCCGGUUAUCAAGAUCUCCAGCCAUGUCAGCAUCCGUAAAUCCCUCAAGAAUAGGCUCACCACCUCCAAAACACAAACUCAGAUUUGAUGUGCCUCGCAAAUAUCUUAAGAUCCACUUUACAGCUUCCCAAUGAACCUUGCUCGGAUUUGCCAAGUAUCUGCUAACCAAUCCAACAGCAUGUGCUAUAUCCGGUCUUGUACACACCAUGGCAUACAUCAAUGAACCAACAGCAAAAGAGUAAGGAAUAUGAGACAUACUUUCCUUUUCUUUCUCGGUUGUAGGACAACAACGCUUGCUCAACUUCAAAUGGGCUGCAAGUGGUGUAUUAACUGGCUUGGCAUUCUUCAUAUUAAACCUUUCAAGCACCCGUUCAAUAUACUUUUCUUGUGACAACCAAAGCUUACCAGCUUUUCUAUCACGAGCAAUUUCCAUACCAAGAAUUUGCUUCGCAGGACCCAAAUCUUUCAUAUCAAAGGACUUUGACAAAUCCUCUUUUAACCUGCAAAUCAUCUCAACAUCUUGUCCCACAAUCAACAUAUCAUCAACAUACAAGCAAAGGAUAAUGAAGUUACCUUCAGAGAAUUUUCUAAAAUACACACAAGGAUCUGCAGUAGUCCGCUUGUACUCGUUACUACUCAUGAAGGAAUCAAACUUGUGAUACCAUUGCCUUGGUGCUUGCUUGAGUCCAUAGAGACUCUUUUUCAACUUACAAACAAAAUUCUCUUUUCCCUUAACUUCAAAUCCUUUCGGCUGCUCCAUGUAAAUCUCCUCAUGCAAAUCACCAUGUAAGAAAGCAGUUUUAACAUCAAGUUGUUCAAGUUCAAGAUUCAAACAGGCAGCUAGUCCCAAAAUCAUACGAAUGGAAGUCAUCUUCACCACCGGUGCAAAAAUCUCAUCGAAGUCGAUGCCUUUUUUCUUGUUCUUAAACAACCACCUGUUCUUCAAGACUUUCUUCCCUUUUGGAGGCUUCACCAAGUCAUAGGUUUCAUUCUUCUUCAAAGAAUCCAUCUCUUCUUGCAUAGCCUUGAGCCAAUGGUCUUUGUCUGAAUGUGACAAGACCUCUUGAAGGUUUUCAGGCUCCCCCUCAUAAGUGAUUAGGAUGUAUUCUGAACUUGGAUAAAGUCUUGAAGGUUGACGAACUCUGGUCGAUUUUCUAAGUGUUGGCUCUUCUACCUGUGGGCUGGAUUUCUCCCCCUGAUUGGAAGACUCUCCAUGUUGAACAUCUACAACUUCAUCAUCAGGUUGUGGUACAACAACAUCAGGUUGUACCUCUUCAAUAUGGUCAUGUUCAUGAGCAAUUUCAUGACCAUCCUCUGGAGCAUCACCUGUUAAUUGAUCAUCUGAAGCAGAAACAUGAGGCAUGGGCAUAUCAAUAACAUCAUGAGAGAAAUUAGAAUAAUAAGUCUUAUCAGCACCCAAGAGAUGAAAACCCAUCUCGUGCUCAUAAAAGACAACAUCUCUACUUCUCACAACUUUUUGCUUUGCUGGAUCAUAAAGUCUGUAACCAAACUCUUCAUCACCAUAUCCAACAAACACACAAGGAGAAGUCUUGAAAUCAAGCUUCAAUCUAUGUUCCUUCGGCACAUGCAUAAAAGCCUUGCAUCCAAACACCCUCAAGUGAGAAUAAGAGGGGUCUUUCCCAAACCAAACUCUCUCGGGAAUAUCAAACUCCAAAGGAACUGAUGGUGCUCUAUUUAUCAAAUACACAGCAGUUCCAACUGUUUCACCCCAAAAUGACUUAGGAAGAUUGGACAUUCUAAGCAUGCAUCUCACUUUCUUAAUAAUGGUUCUGUUCAUCCUCUCGGCAACGCCAUUGUGUUGUGGGGUACUCGGUUCUGUUCUCUCAUGUCGAAUGCCAUAUCUUGAGCAAUAUGCUUUAAACUCAUUUGAAGUGUAUUCACCUCCAUUAUCAGUUCGAAGACGCUUCAGUUUGCAAUCUGUCUCCCUUUCAACCAUUGCAUGAAACUUCUUGAAGAUACCGAACACCUCACUUUUGUGCUUCAUCAUAUAAACCCAAGUUCUCCGAGUAGCAUCAUCAAUAAAAGUAACAAAGUAUUUGUUACCACCAAGUGAUUCCACCUCUAUGGGACCACACACAUCAGAGUAAACCAACUCUAACUUCACUUUCUUUCUUGUAGAUGUCCUCGGAAAAGAAACUCUAUGUUGCUUUCCUGCUAAACAAUGAUCACAAGGGUCAAGUGAAAUAGUAACAUCAGCAGGAAUAAGAGACUUACCGGCCAACAGCUUUAUACCCUUCUCACUAACAUGCCCCAAUCUUCGGUGCCAUAAGUUAGGAGAUGUUUUCUCCUCAAUAGCAUUCAACUCACCACUACACACUUUCAAAUGUGUCUUAUACAAGGUGCAACAAAGCUUGCCACGAGCAACAGUCAAAGAACCCUUAGACAAUUUCCAUUUACCCUCACCAAAAGUGUGCUUGUAACCCUCUUCAUCAAGUACGUUAGUAGACAAUAAAUUGAGGCGUAAAUCUGGAAUGUGGCGAACAUCUCUCAACGUCAAAUAGCACCCUACAUUGGUUUGGACUCGAAUAUCUCCAAUGCCAACAAUACUUGCUGAGCUCUGGUUCCCCAUCUUCACACUACCAAAAUCUCCAGCUCGGUAGUCAAUAAAGUACUCCUUAUUAGGAACACAAUGAUAGGAAGCUCCUGUAUCAAUAAGCCAUUCAGUGUCAGAACUAUCAACAUGACAACAUUCUCCAGUAGUACAUAUCAAAGAAACACGAUCAUCAGAACUAGAAGUUGUAGCAGCUGUAUUCUUGUCAUCACCCUCUUUAUGAUGGUCAUUUUUCUUAUUUUGCUGGUCUCUUUUCAACUUGUAGCAAAACUUUUGAAUGUGGCCAGGCUUGCUACAAUAGUGGCAUAUCGUAGGUUCUCUCCCAUCCUUGGACUUUGACCUAUACUUUGACUUGCCACGCCCUUUGGGACCUCUACUUUUGCUUCUUCCUCUAUUCUCUACCACAAGUGCCUGCGAAAUAUCAACACCCAUCUCCUUUCUUCUAAGCUCUUCAUUGAACAUGCUCUCUUUGAUGACAUCCAAUGAAAGCGUACCAUCUGGAGCUGAGUUGCUGAUGGACACAACCAAAGUUUCCCAACUGUCUGGCAAAGAACUCAAGAGGAAUAAAGCCUGCAACUCAUCAUCAAGGACAAUUUUCAUAACAGUCAACUUGUUAAUAAUAUCUUGAAAGUCGCUAAGAUGCUCAGAAACAGACUUCCCUGGCUUCAACUUGAGAUUAACAAGCCUCUUAAUCAACGAGGCCUUGUUAUGAGCGGUCUUCCUCUCAUAAAGACCCUCCAAUUUUCUCCAUAGCUCAAGCGGCUCAGUCUCCUGGGAUACAUGAUUGAAUAUGCUAAUAUCAAUCCACUGUAUGAUUGUCCCCAAGGUCUUUCUCUUCAGCUUUUCCCAUUCUUUUUCUGUCAUCUUCUCUGGCUUAGUAGGCUGGUCAUCUUUCUUUGUUUUAUCCACAUCAAUUGGAUCAAACAAAUCCUUGCAAUAUAGCAAAUCUUCCAUCAUCGGACGCCAAAUGGAAUAAUUGGUUGAUGUCAGUUUAACCAUAGAGUUAUUUCCAUGCUCCAUGUCUAUGGUUUAACACUCAGCUCUGAUACCAAUUGUGAGGGGAGGCACAAAACAACACAAGUAGAAUACAACACCUACAAGGAUCGACUUCAAGACAAUCAACCAAAUAUACUUCACCACUUUACCAAAAGAAAUUCACCACUAUAUUAAUCAAGCUAAAAUCAGCAACACAUCAAUUGAAUCACAAGCAAAUAUGAAUUAUAAUACGCAAGUGACACACAAGAUUUAUACGUGGAAAACCCCUUCGGUAUGAAGGAUAAAAACCACGGGACUUGAAGGAGUCCACCCUUCUUCUCUUAUUAUGAAAAUUGAGGGUAAAAACACCCAAGUCAGUCUACAAGGAUGUCACAGCCCACCAACAACAACAUACAGAAGAGCCAACACAAAAGAGAAGAGAAAUUGAGAAAUAUCACCAAAAAAAAUGCAGGUUACGCCAGCUGCGAUAACAGACGAUCAAGAACUCCG